GGUCUGAGAAGAGAUUCUGGAAGAUGUUUGGGGAGUCGUCCCUGUGGCUGUUCGGAGACUUGGCACUAGCUCCAUGGCCAUGAAAGAAGGUGGGUGAGGGGAGGGCGAGAUGAGCUGGAAAUACAGAAAACCAAGAGGCCUCUCUUCAGCAGAAGCGGACUCUACAGCUGCCGGGGAAAAAAAUAACAGAACAAAGCCCUCCAACAUGUUCGUCACCCUGGGGUUUGCUGUUAUUCCAUAGCACACAUGAAACGGGAGAUUGAGGACUAACAACUAGAGAGAAGGCAGCUGGCGGUUUAAAAAUGAAACUCUUCUGCCGCUGGUGAUAAAAUAUCAUCUUCCAAAGUAAAUAAUCACAUCUUCAAUAAGAAAA